GGUGAAAAGCACCCCGGAAGGGGAGUGAAAUAGAACCUGAAACCGUGUGCUUACAAGUAGUCAGAGCCCGUUAAUGGGUGAUGGCGUGCCUUUUGUAGAAUGAACCGGCGAGUUACGAUUUGAUGCAAGGUUAAGCAGUAAAUGUGGAGCCGUAGCGAAAGCGAGUCUGAAUAGGGCGUUUAGUAUUUGGUCGUAGACCCGAAACCAGGUGAUCUACCCUUGGUCAGGUUGAAGUUCAGGUAACACUGAAUGGAGGACCGAACCGACUUACGUUGAAAAGUGAGCGGAUGAACUGAGGGUAGCGGAGAAAUUCCAAUCGAACCUGGAGAUAGCUGGUUCUCUCCGAAAUAGCUUUAGGGCUAGCCUCAAGUGAUGAUUAUUGGAGGUAGAGCACUGUUUGGACGAGGGGCCCCUCUCGGGUUACCGAAUUCAGACAAACUCCGAAUGCCAAUUAAUUUAACUUGGGAGUCAGAACAUGGGUGAUAAGGUCCGUGUUCGAAAGGGAAACAGCCCAGACCACCAGCUAAGGUCCCAAAAUAUAUGUUAAGUGGAAAAGGAUGUGGCGUUGCCCAGACAACUAGGAUGUUGGCUUAGAAGCAGCCAUCAUUUAAAGAGUGCGUAAUAGCUCACUAGUCGAGUGACACUGCGCCGAAAAUGUACCGGGGCUAAACAUAUUACCGAAGCUGUGGAUUGUCCUUUGGACAAUGGUAGGAGAGCGUUCUAAGGGCGUUGAAGCAUGAUCGUAAGGACAUGUGGAGCGCUUAGAAGUGAGAAUGCC
rnacentral:rRNA from 1 species